AGUUCGACUCUAUGCAUCGUGCACUCCGUGACUCAUUGAUAUCCGCAUCGAUACGAGUCGUCGAUCUUGAGACCGUGUGCUCUAUGCUUCGGUCGGCCCGCCACGUGCCACCAGUGUAAUGUCGGCGCGUCACUAGCGUAAUGGCGGCGCCCGGUGAUCACCGCACGUUUCACAUCGCAGUUACGGUUUACGAGUUUUUUAAAAAAUAAUAAAAUAUUCACAGUAAUAUCCGAAUAUUUGUAAAAAUUCACCGUGACCUGUGCUCUCCUUCUUCUCCUCGGUUAGAAAAACCCACCGAUUCAUGCCCGCUGACGAUGCGCUGUCCGCGAAGGGUAAAUAUUUACCUCGCAAAGUCACUUUCACUAUUCGUCGAGGAGAGUCUUAACUUGCACUACAGCUAGUUGAUAAGUUUGUUCAUCGGCCUUUAUUGAUUUGAAAAAAUGAGCACGAUGCCCCUGGUUACUGCAUAACCUCAACCGUGUGACAGCUUGCCUUAUAGGCACAAAACCUUAGUUUGCGACGAGCAAUUUUUAUAAGCUAUCCUGCUACGACACAAUCAAGAGCGCUUGUGCCAGGAGAAAGGCACUAGAAUUUAGUUUAUUGACUAUAAUUAUAGUGCUAUAAUUAAUCUGGCGUUCUAUCCAAGAUCAGUUCUACAGAUGUUUCCUCCCCUUGAGUUGCGUCAUAUGACCACACGCUUCUAUGUAUCCCAGACUUUUCCCUUUCCCAUGGAGAGUCUCCUCAUUUGAUUGUAUUACACCCAAAGGGCUCGUGAACACAUUCAGACACUAGUUGCUUUUACUUAUAAUGAAGAGCACGUAUCUUGCUCCGACAGCUAGUAUACAAGAUAAGUAUUACACUAAUAACUUGUUGCUUCGGGCUUAUCACAUACACGAAUCACAUACAUACAACUAUCACUAAUACUUUUUCUUCCAGGUGGAGGAUUUAACACAACAAUCAACCACUCUGCUCUCACACAUAAUAUUUACCUAACUUAAUUUAACUUAAUACCACUCUACCUUCUGUGACGGUAAUGGCCAUACCCUGCGUCUACCCUGCUUUUCGCAUAAUCACUUUCUUAAAUGCGACACAAGUUAAACUCAUUGCAUGGAUUACCAUCUCAUAUUUAAUAAAGAAUCUAUAACAUCCACCUUUGAUUUAUAAUUUUGUUUUAAACCUAUUUGUCCCUAUAGAGAGUUACGAACACCGGACAUAGCAAAGUAUACUAUCACAAUAUCUUUCUACGUUGGUAUUAACCCUUUCCCACUCCUUCUUAGCUCUGAAGGACCGUCGCCACUAUUGCUGGUCAAAAUUAUAACCACAUUGUAUCAAGAACUCUAUAGACUUUUUCAGAAACCUAACCUCGACUUUUCACAGCUCGCCUAGCCUUUGUUUUGACUGAAUAUAUGCCAAAGCUAAUGUUAGCAUAAUCGUUACACCUUGCACUUUUGAUUGCACACAUCGUAGUUGAGAAAUUUAUUAAUUCGUAAGUUUUCAAGCAUAUUCUACGAAGUCGAUAUAACGUCGGCAUGGCCGGGCCACGUGGCCCGGCAUACGAUCCCCUAUUGAUAAGGCAUAUCUAGAUAGCCUAACACGCCAGUAUCCAGGACCUAAACAAAAAUUUUCUAUGGGACGAGACAAAUACGAAACGAACGAAUACGUAACGAAACGAAUUUUUGGACAGGAUCACAUCUUUCACAUAGUAUCGGACAACUUCCCUAUUAUCGAAGACGGAAUCAUUGGGCUACCAUGUUUAGGGAAGUAUAACUAUUCAAUAUCCAAUGACAAAAUCUGACUAAACGACAAAACCAUUUUGUUUCAGAAACCAAUACACUUAACUCCUGGUGUACUGUUGACCCGAGGAGAUCGCUCGUCUCCGCGAGGCGUGAAUCCGCGCUCGGCGCCGGUUCACCAGAUCCCACCGUAAACGGCGGCUGGACGAAGCCACGGUGGCUCGUCUGUACGAGGUGAAGAGACGGGCUUGGGACGAGCUUCUGACCAGCCUCGACUCCGAUUCCCUGGGGGCACCCUUACAAGAUGGUAUUGAACAAAUUCCGUCCAUGGGCGCCUUCCGCAACGGAGAGCAUGGACCUUCGGUUCAUGGAGGAGGUUGUCGGCACUCUGUUCCCGGGAGCGGCGAACGAGGAAGAGGGCAGGUUCACCGAUGAGGAAGAGCAGGAGCGUCAACCGCCGGAAGUUGGAGCCCGGAAUCGAGGGUCACCGAGGAAGAAUUGACCUAGGCUGUAGGGAGGCUCGGAGCGCGGAAAGCUCCGGGUCCCGACGGAGUCCCAGCCCGCCUGUGGAAGGACGUCGCCGGGGUCUUGCCCUGAGAUUAAUACGUCUGUUCGACAGAUGCCUGUCUCGGGGCGAAUUCCCCGUCUUGUGGAAGGAGGGACGGAUGGUCCUGCUGCCGAAGCCGGGAUGGUCUUCGUACUGGCCUUCCGUCUUUCGGCCGGUAUGCCUUUUGGACGAGGCUGGCAAGCUACUGGAGAGAGUGGUAGCUGCCCGCCUCGAGUCGCAUUUGUCUGGAAGUGUUCUCGGACUGCACGACAGCUAGUUUGGCUUUCGGAGGGGGCGGUCUACGGCCGACGCUGUCGCCCGUGUCCGUUCCUUGGCCAAGGGGGUCGAGCAGCGUGGUUGCGUGGCAUUGGCCGUGUCGCUGAACGUGGUCAACGCUUUCAACAGUAUCCCCUGGAACAAGAUAUGCCGGGCCCUCGAGUUUCAUUGGGUACCCGCGUACCUGCGGCGUGUGGUCCGGGCGUUCCACCGGGACCGGAGUAUCGUCUACACCGUUCGCGGCGGGGGGAUGGCAGAUAGGGCGGUGUACUGCGCGGGGUCCUGCAGGAUUCUGUGUUGGGUCCGUUGCUGUGGAACAUCGCGUACGACGCGGUGCUUCCCCCGGACUCGGCAUUGGCGUGCUACGCCGACGACACCGUCAAUUCACAUCAAUUCACAUCAGAGACCAGGCCACACACCGCGGGCAGGAUGGCACCCAGAUGUCUGCACAUCCUUGACGCGUACCCUCAAUAGUCUUAAGUACUCACCAGGGGUCUUGCAAUUUUCAUAGUUAAGGUCCCUCAGACCAAGCGAGUAUCUCUUGUCUUAGAUUUCCUUUUACGUUUAUUGUUUACUACGGAAAGUCGGUGUUCCUCACUUCUGGUAUAUUCCGUUGGCAACUUUCUCACGAGGGCGGUUGAAACCCUUCCUGGUCCACCAACCGUCUUAUUAUCCAAUCGGAGACUGUGUCUACUGCCCUCACUUCCUUAACCAAAAUUAACAUCAACAAAUCCGAUAGAUCCGUGUCCUCAGACACGCCCACACCUACUUUCCUCGGAUACAGUAUCGUCAGUACGUCUUAUACGUACUGAUUGCUCCAUGCAUUAACCUCGAGUACAACUUAGACGCUAACGAAGAGUAAAGUUCGUCAUCCCGUUGACCGCGGAUUCGUUAUCGAACCUGAGGCCAUUGUCAUUAGUGUCGCGAGUACCUAGACGUUGUGGUUAACUACCAACGCUGUAAUAUCUCUACUUGUGUUAAUAAAUUGUACCUUUGUUCUAACGCA